rnacentral:rRNA from 1 species
AACGCGAAGAACCUUACCUGGGCUCGAAAUGUAGUGGAAUCGGGUGGAAACAUCCGCGUCUCGCAAGAGACUGCUAUAUAGGUGCUGCAUGGCUGUCGUCAGCUCGUGUCGUGAGAUGUUGGGUUAAGUCCCGCAACGAGCGCAACCCUUAUCCCUAGUUGCCAUCGGGUCAAGCCGGGCACUCUAGUGAAACCGCCCGGGAUAACCGGGAGGAAGGUGGGGAUGACGUCAAGUCCUCAUGGCCUUUAUGUCCAGGGCUACACACGUGCUACAAUGGUCGGUACAAACCGUCGCAAACCCGCGAGGGGGAGCUAAUCGGAAAAAGCCGGCCUCAGUUCGGAUUGGAGUCUGCAACCCGACUCCAUGAAGCUGGAAUCGCUAGUAAUCGCGGAUCAGAACGCCGCGGUGAAUACGUUCCCGGGCCUUGUA